rnacentral:rRNA from 1 species
CGGAGGAUCCAAGCGUUAUCCGGAAUCGAUUGGGUUUAAAGGGUCCGUAGGCGGUUUGAUAAGUCAGUGGUGAAAGCCCAUCGCUCAACGAUGGAACGGCCAUUGAUACUGUCAGACUUGAAUUACUGGGAAGUAACUAGAAUAUGUAGUGUAGCGGUGAAAUGCUUAGAUAUUACAUGGAAUACCAAUUGCGAAGGCGGGUUACUACCAGUGGAUUGACGCUGAUGGACGAAAGCGUGGGGAGCGAACAGGAUUAGAUACCCUGGUAGUCCACGCCGUAAACGAUGGAUACUAGCUGUUCGGAGCAAUCUGAGUGGCUAAGCGAAAGUGAUAAGUAUCCCACCUGGGGAGUACGUUCGCAAGAAUG